rnacentral:rRNA from 1 species
GAUGAACGCUGGCGGCGUGCCUAAUACAUGCAAGUCGAGCGAACAGAUGAGGAGCUUGCUCCUCUGACGUUAGCGGCGGACGGGUGAGUAACACGUGGAUAACCUACCUAUAAGACUGGGAUAACUUCGGGAAACCGGAGCUAAUACCGGAUAAUAUAUUGAACCGCAUGGUUCAAUAGUGAAAGACGGUUUUGCUGUCACUUAUAGAUGGAUCCGCGCCGCAUUAGCUAGUUGGUAAGGUAACGGCUUACCAAGGCAACGAUGCGUAGCCGACCUGAGAGGGUGAUCGGCCACACUGGAACUGAGACACGGUCCAGACUCCUACGGGAGGCAGCAGUAGGGAAUCUUCCGCAAUGGGCGAAAGCCUGACGGAGCAACGCCGCGUGAGUGAUGAAGGUCUUCGGAUCGUAAAACUCUGUUAUUAGGGAAGAACAAAUGUGUAAGUAACUAUGCACGUCUUGACGGUACCUAAUCAGAAAGUCACGGCUAACUACGUG